rnacentral:rRNA from 1 species
AUUGAACGCUGGCGGCAGGCCUAACACAUGCAAGUCGAGCGGAUGAAGGGAGCUUGCUCCUGGAUUCAGCGGCGGGCGGGUGAGUAAUGCCUAGGAAUCUGCCUGGUAGUGGGGGAUAACGUCCGGAAACGGGCGCUAAUACCGCAUACGUCCUGAGGGAGAAAGUGGGGGAUCUUCGGACCUCACGCUAUCAGAUGAGCCUAGGUCGGAUUAGCUAGUUGGUGGGGUAAAGGCCUACCAAGGCGACGAUCCGUAACUGGUCUGAGAGGAUGAUCAGUCACACUGGAACUGAGACACGGUCCAGACUCCUACGGGAGGCAGCAGUCGGGAAUAUUGGACAAUGGGCGAAAGCCUGAUCCAGCCAUGCCGCGUGUGUGAAGAAGGUCUUCGGAUUGUAAAGCACUUUAAGUUGGGAGGAAGGGCAGUAAGUUAAUACCUUGCUGUUUUGACGUUACCAACAGAAUAAGCACCGGCUAACUUCGUG